GGCGAAUUUUUCGUCGUAGUAUUAUUUGAAUUUGAAGCCGCAUGUUUUGAUAAAUUUUCCUCUGAAAACGUUUGAAAAUAUAUGUAUGUAUAUAAUUCACCUCUUUAAAAAUACGCCACUUUCAUAAUCGAGCAGUUCCUUUUUUUUCUUUUUUUUUUUUAGCUUCCUACAUUUUAAAUGCGUGUAGUAUCUACUCGAAGACAAGAAUUUCGGGUGGGGUUGUAUACUAGAAAGUACACAAUAACAAAUAUAUAUACCACACGGUAUAGCUGACCAGGAAUUCAUUGUGUAUUGAGCAAACUGUAUUGCUUGCAACACGUCAAAAAUGCAGUGAAGGUGGAAUUUUGUUAAACUCCUCACAAAGCAUGCAUGCGGUAGCCUGAUAUAUGUAAUUAUGCUUUUAAAUCGAGCGUGUGGUGCUGGGCAGCCGUAGAACACGAUAUCAGUAUCAAUUUAUAGUUAUUGUAUUUGAAUGAGCAUUCAUCGAACAAUGUUCUCACAAGUUGACGAUUAUUACGGUGAAAAAGUUAAGUGACAUAUUUGAAUAAAAAAAAUGUUAAUAAAACUUUUCUCGUUGUAACCUUAAAGAACAAUCUCAUUUAGUUGUCUAAAAUCUCGAGUUUACGUGUCAUGAGCUUGCGUGUACUUUUUCAAUGUGCAGAAAUCACAAAAUGUCACUUAACUUCCUCAUCGAUAGCUUUUAAUUUUACUUGGAGACAUUGAAAUAUUAUUUUCCUUUUGUCCAUAAGCAUUGUUUGGACAGUAUCAUGUAUAUACUAUCGAUCUCUUUUUCAUCAAAUCUUCGUUUAAUUUUUUACAGGUAUCAUGACAAUGCUUUGCCUCCUAAGAGCAUGCUGAGGACUUCCAUUAUGCAAACACCAAAUGUCCAAAGAUGUUAGUUGAUGAAUCUGAACUUGGUGCAGACGUGAGAAAAGCUAGUGUUGAAUGCGUCACAUUUUGAGGCGCUCUACUACACUUGAAGACUUUUGCUCAAAGCGGAAAUAUCGAGGACCAAGUGCAGUGAUGCCGGCCGCUUGAGGUCUCCU
rnacentral:lncRNA from 1 species